UGGUAAUCUAUUUCAGAGCUGACUGUGUUGCUGAGCUGGGGAAAUUUAUGUGAGAGCUGGCAGAGAGUAGAGCGGUGAGCCAGUGACAGCAUCUCUCCCCUCAAGUGAUCGCAUUCUUGGUAACCGGGACGCAAUGUCUGGCUGUUUGUGUACCUCAUCACCAUGACAACGGGUGACGUGCGCGGAUGCCGGAUGAUGACGUCAUUGCUCCAAGCCCUGCCAGUUUUCAAACCUGGAUUCCAUAUACCCCCCAAGAUGACCUCUCUCCUUCAACAGACAGAAUUCAUCAAGAUG